CCAAAACGUUACCAAACAGCCCCGAAGUUUCAGCUGCGCUAAGGAGGUUUCCGAGGCGCAAUUUUGGCUAGUUUUGGCCAAUUUCGGGUAAGGUUAAGGAGGUAUCAAGGCAAGCCGAAUUUCUAUUAAUCCCGAAAAAGGUACAGGCGCG